rnacentral:rRNA from 1 species
GAUGCGACCUCAGCUCAGGCGGGGCUACCCGCUGAGUUUAAGCAUAUCAAUAAGCGGAGGAAAAGAAAC